rnacentral:rRNA from 1 species
CGUCGAGCAGGUACGAAAGUAGGUCAUAGUGAUCCGGUGGUUCUGUAUGGAAGGGCCAUCGCUCAACGGAUAAAAGGUACUCCGGGGAUAACAGGCUGAUACCGCCCAAGAGUUCACAUCGACGGCGGUGUUUGGCACCUCGAUGUCGGCUCAUCACAUCCUGGGGCUGAAGCCGGUCCCAAGGGUAUGGCUGUUCGCCAUUUAAAGUGGUACGCGAGCUGGGUUUAGAACGUCGUGAGACAGUUCGGUCCCUAUCUGCCGUGGACGUUGGAGAUUUGAGGAAAGCUGCUCCUAGUACGAGAGGACCGGAGUGGACGAACCUCUGGUGUUCGGGUUGUCACGCCAGUGGCAUUGCCCGGUAGCUAUGUUCGGACAGGAUAACCGCUGAAAGCAUCUAAGCGGGAAGCCCCUUCCAAGAUGAGAUCUCCCUGAGGCCUUGAGCCUCCUGAAGAGCCGUUCAAGACCAGGACGUUGAUAGGUCGGGUGUGUAAGCGCUGCGAGGCGUUGAGCUAACCGAUACUAAUUGCUCGUGCGGCUUGACUAUAUAACACCCAAG